AGAGUUUGAUCAUGGCUCAGGACGAACGNNGCGGCGCGCUUAACACAUGCAAGUCGUGCGGUACCGAUGGCAAGUCUUCAUGACGAGCCUUCGGUAUAGCGGCGGACGGGUGAGUAACACGUGAGUAGCUGUCCUAGGGAGGGGGAUAACGCCUGGAAACGGGUGCUAAAACCCCAUAAGCCUCGCAAGAGGUGAAAGUGUACUUGUUACAGCCUUAGGGUGUGCUCGCGGCCUAUCAGCUAGUUGGUGAGGUAAGGGCUCACCAAGGCUAAGACGGGUAGCCGGCCUGAGAGGGUGUACGGCCACACUGGAAUUGAGAUACGGUCCAGACUCCUACGGGAGGCAGCAGUGGGGAAUAUUGCGCAAUGGGGGAAACCCUGACGCAGCGACGCCGCGUGAAGGAAGAAGGCCUUCGGGUUGUAAACUUCUUUGGUCGGGGACGAAGAUGACGGUACCCGAAUAACAAGCCACGGCUAACUACGUGCCAGCAGCCGCGGUAAU
rnacentral:rRNA from 1 species